AGAUUGAACGCUGGCGGCAUGCCUUACACAUGCAAGUCGAACGGCAGCACGGGAGCAAUCCUGGUGGCGAGUGGCGAACGGGUGAGUAAUACAUCGGAACGUGCCCAAUCGUGGGGGAUAACGCAGCGAAAGCUGUGCUAAUACCGCAUAAGAUCUACGGAUGAAAGCAGGGGAUCGCAAGACCUUGCGCGAAUGGAGCGGCCGAUGGCAGAUUAGGUAGUUGGUGAGGUAAAGGCUACACCAAGCC
rnacentral:rRNA from 1 species